rnacentral:rRNA from 1 species
UACGGAGGGGGCUAGCGUUGUUCGGAAUUACUGGGCGUAAAGCGCACGUAGGCGGCUUUGCAAGUUAGAGGUGAAAGCCCAGGGCUUAACCCUGGAAUUGCCUUAAAACUGCAUCGCUAGAAUUGUGGAGAGGUAAGUGGAAUUCCGAGUGUAGAGGUGAAAUUCGUAGAUAUUCGGAAGAACACCAGUGGCGAAGGCGACUCGCUGGACAGGUAUUGACGCUGAGGUGCGAAAGCGUGGGGAGCAAACAGGG